GAUGAACGCUGGCGGCGUGCCUAAUACAUGCAAGUCGAGCGAACAGACGAGGAGCUUGCUCCUCUGACGUUAGCGGCGGACGGGUGAGUAACACGUGGAUAACCUACCUAUAAGACUGGGAUAACUUCGGGAAACCGGAGCUAAUACCGGAUAAUAUAUUGAACCGCAUGGUUCAAUAGUGAAAGACGGUUUUGCUGUCACUUAUAGAUGGAUCCGCGCCGCAUUAGCUAGUUGGUAAGGUAACGGCUUACCAAGGCAACGAUGCGUAGCCGACCUGAGAGGGUGAUCGGCCACACUGGAACUGAGACACGGUCCAGACUCCACGGGAGGCAGCAGUAGGGAAUCUUCCGCAAUGGGCGAAAGCUUGACGGAGCAACGCCGCGUGAGUGAUGAAGGUCUUCGGAUCGUAAAACUCUGUUAUUAGGGAAGAACAAAUGUGUAAGUAACUAUGCACGUCUUGACGGUACCUAAUCAGAAAGCCACGGCUAACUACGUG
rnacentral:rRNA from 1 species